UCAUGUAAAAUUACAAUCUUUAUAUAUAUAAUUAAAAAUUUAAAAUCUCUUUGAUUUCUUUGUAUAUUUAUUUUUUUUCAUAAAACUUUUAAUUCCGCCACGAGUAGUAUUACGAAUAAUAUUUGCGGGGAGGAGCUAUCGGAUUGAUUACGAAUUCAGCCCCGACUUUUUUUGUAUUGGAAACAAUUUAUUCCGUGAUUAGAAUUCCACUAAAUUCAAAUUCUGCUCCCGCCUGAGCUGUUGUUCACUUUCAGUUUUUUCGAAGAAACAUUGGAGUUGCAAAUUUCAUAAGGUGUUUGAUAAAUUGCCCGAGAGAGAAACUCAAACCAUAACUGAGCUUGAUUUUGAUAACUUUUUUAUAUGUAUGGACGUGCAUUUUCAGGCAUGGAAGAUCUGAAGUGCGGGCGUUUCUGCUUUUUCGAUGGUUCAGUUUCAUCUAUGGAUCGAGAAAAGCUUCUCAUAAUGCUGUUUUAAGUGGGAAUUCAGUAGAGGCGAAGCUAUGAUUGCAACUUAAUUGGUUCUGAAUUUAAUAUUUGUGUAUAAUUGAGGCUGAAUCCGCAUGUGGAUUUUGCAUUGCUUCUGGUGGGAAGGACCUUUUCUAUGUGGUGUUGAUAGGGUCACUGAUUAGCUUUUGCAUUGCUAAAACAAGGUAUGGAAUGUUUAGCUUUUGGUAUUGCUAAUCUAUCGACUGAUAUACUAGACAUACUGCAAGUGAAAGUGCAUCUGUAGUAGGUAUUUUUAUUAGUUGGAACUUGGAAGAACUUCUCAUUGUUUAGUUGUAUAUAUUGUUUCAUGAGCCAAUUGUUAUAUGAAAUGCAUCAAAACCAACUCAGAGAAGAUUAUUAGAUAUUACGAAUGGAGCGUCUUAACUGUUAAGAUACGGUUAUUUGGAUGAAAAUGCUAAUUAGCUCAUAACUAUGUUUUUAGAGGAAUUGAAAUGAUGAUAGAUAUAAAGAAUCAGUUUCCAUAUGAAAGGAGGAAUUGAAAUGAUGAUAAAUAUAAAGAAUCAGUUUCCAGAUGAAAGGUGUAAGUGUUUCCAUAAUAAAAUUCUAGAUUGGACUCGUUAGUCACGCUAUGUUUGAACUCUUCUUAUCUUCUCUUAUUUUGAUAAAAUUCAUAUGACUGCCUUUGACUGAAUCCUUCUUGUUGUAUUGUUUGUGGGAUGUAAAGCAAAAGAAUAUGUUCAUACCAUCAGAUGUUGAAAGGGUGUUAUGAACUUGCCUGGGUAAUUUAUAACUUUGGAUGUCAUUUGGAUCUCAAUAUUCUUUAUUUGUAAACCAGAUCCGAAUAUUAAAAAGUCUGCUUAUCAGUUACAUACUUCAACUCAGUCUUACUACUGCUAAGGCCUAAUGUAUAGAAUAACUGUAUUAUAUUUACUACCAAGGACUUUUAAGGAAUUAUUGAUUCAAAACAUUCUAUCGCUACACCCAUCUUCAAGUAUCUCAACAUUCUAUCGCUACACCCAUCUUCAAGUAUCUCAAAUAGCACACUAGCCGUAAGAUGAAGAGGUGUCUAAUACAGCCACUCAUCCGCUGAGCUGGCUGAAAGAAUCAAGUGAAGAGUCUUUACUCUAAAGAAAAAGCAUUUUCCUAUUCUAGAAAUCCUGCAAACUAUUAAUUGAAGUGCUUACCAGUCACCGCUACAAUUGGCAGAAAUUGGCACUGCAUCUAUAUCAAUGAAUAUUUAGCCUUUCCUUGGUCCAUUUUUUUAGCACUGGCUUACUCACAGGAAGCUGGCUUAGCAGAAAGAUGGACUUUGUGUGUAACUUUAACAGAGAAAAAAGAAAAUGAACUUUGUCAUAUGCUUUAAUACAAGAUUAUGUGCUUAAAUACUUGUGCAUUAUGUACACUUCACAUGUACAAGUGUUUUGGUUUAGAUACUCCUUAUUAUCAUAUAUAAAUCUACUUGCACCUUCUGUUUUAUACUGUAUAGUGUAUACUCUAUAACCAGGAAGGACUUUUGUUGGAUUUGCAUUUGAUAAUGUGUUAUCAUCUUUCUUUUCAAAAAAAAAAGAAGAAAAAAAGUAUGUUUUACAUUGAUGCAGAAGAACCUGACUGUUAUGACCUGUACUUGAAUACAAAUGGUGAGAUUUCCUUCUGCUUUUAUCUGCCUCUAUUUUGCACCAGAUGAUUUUCGAAUGUGCAGCUCCACCAAGCAAAUUGGACAGGAAAUGGAUGACGAGUUGCAAGAAGUGAAGAAAUCACUAAUUUUUCCAAGGUUAGUUCUUUGAUUGAUUUAGGACAAAUUAUUUGCCUUUAACACGCGGACCUUACUCUACCUUGUCAAUUAGAGAGGAGGUUGUUUCUGAAAGACCCUCAACUCAAAGAAAGCAAAGACACAACAUAUGAAGACAUAAGCAACAACUGGAAGUAAGAAAAUAUGGGAAGUUUGCUAAACAUUCUUCAUUGAACCUCAUGACUUUAUUAGUGUCCCCCAGUGUGGCCUUAAUUCACCCUAUCGAAGCUUGCUUAACAUUCUUCAAUUUGUGAUGAAAGAUGAUGAAGAAAUCCCUUGUACAUAUGUCCUCCAAUGCUGCCUCACUAAGUCAGGGAAAGUCUCAUGCUUAGCCCAAAAAUUCAAGAAUUUAAAGGAUCUUCUAAGUGGAGUAUCAUCCAAGCUACAAGAUAUUAGCUAAGGAGCAUGAUGUGGCUCCUUCUUGAUCAAGUGUGUGACCUCCAAAAUAGGUCCUUUAAAUUCUUGAAAAUGCAUUCAUCAUUAAAUCUUUUGAGUUUUGCACCUAUUCUUUGUCUCCAUGUCCAACAACUUCAGCUCCUUUAGGAUUAGAAUCCUUAGCUUCUGCCCGCAAUUGAAUCCCAGUAGGAUUAGGAUUAACCUUCCCCUUUCCAAUUGAGGCAUCAAUUACCUCCACCAAUGCUGUCAAUUUGCAUCACUAUCUUGGCUUUCCAUUUCAUCAACAAGUGCUGCAAAUUGUUUCCCAGUUUGUGUAGGAACCAUAGUUCCUUUAUUAGGAUGGGAAUCGAACCCCCCAGACAUCCAUGAUUGGACAUCUGGAGCAUGGACAAUAUAAGGCUGGGUCUCAUCAUUGGAAACAAUGAAUUGGGAUUGCCCCAAAAGCUACCUCCUGAAGGGAGAACUGCCCAAGACCAUAUGACGAGACCAAGGUGCUUAUUAUCCCACUGAUGUGGGACUCCAACAAGCCUUAUUGUCAUCCUUCGAUGAAUUUUGUUCUUAAGAUCUAUGGGCAGUAAAUUUCUUACUUCUAACUUCUUGCCAUCUCCAUUUAUCACUCACGUUCCUUACAGCUCAUCCACUCUUUAACACCUUGGGAGGAGCCUUCCCUUUGUCAUUGGUUCCACACUUUUCCCAUUGUUCUCCACAUCACAGUUGCCUUCAUUAUUUCCUUGCGUCUCCUCAAUUAAUUGAGGAUGUAAGACUCGAAAACCAUAUUACGCCCUUGUAAUUUGCGUUCUUUACAAUGCUUAGACAUAUAAUUCUGCUUACUGUUAUCUAUUUGGGAAUUCACCAAGUAAAUUUACUUCAACUUUUACCCUCGCAUAACUUGGCCUUGUUUUGUUUUUUGUUGCCAUUUCAACAUGUAAUGACUUCCCAAUUGAUGGAGCAAGUUAGCUAGGAUUCCUUUACAAAGAAAUUUAGGAAGCAAUGGAAGUUUCUUCUUCCGAAUCAAACCAAGGAACCCACUUAUGAUGAUACAUUCGACAGAAACCAUCCUUGGUUUUGAGACACUAAGCACGCUUUGACAACAAGUGGACAUAAUUUUAAAGCAAUGUCAAUCGAAUAAGAACAUGUCUAUUGCAAUUUGCACACAAAUCUUAUAAUUACCUCACAUUGCAUAGGAAUGAUCUUGCACAAUUCUUGUAUUUCCAUCCAUCCAUAAGAGAACUUACCAACAACAGCAUACAAUAAAUUCUCAGGACUAUACCUUAUCCAAAAAUAAUUACUAUCACACGAUCAACUUUAUCCACAGACCAACGAGCCGUGGAUUUUCCGUGAUGGUAUACAAUAGGUUCAAGGGGUUUAGUUUGCUUGGUGGGGUUUUUCCUGGGUGUUUUUAGGAGGGCAUAAAAGGGGUUACGGGAGUUUAGGGGUCUGAGUAACCUUAUGUGGAGGCUUCCGCUGGCCAUAUUGUCUAUGAAAAGCUCACAUAGAAAGUCGCCUCCAAAUCAUCUUGUUCGAGAGCUCUCAAGCACGGUGUGGGUGUAGAGUUCUUUUUUCAAUUAAUCCUAACACAGGCUUUCACUCCAGUGCAAGCUGACUCAGUUUGAGAAAUAGAAGAAGACAAUUACAAUGAGUUCAUUCUCCUAUUUCAUCUACUAAGACUGUUAGAAGUGACUUAUAUAGAGGACUGUAGCUGCUAUAUACUCUUUUAGUUCAUCUGUAACAACUUUGAGUAGGGAGUGAGGCAGGACUUAAAGUUCAAAGCUGGGUUAACCCAGUGUUGUGAAUGGCGAGCGCCUCUCGCCUAAGGCGAGAGGCGAGGCGAGGCGAGCCUUUCUCGCCAUUCCACACUGAGGCGAGGCGAGGUAUGGCGAGCUAAUGGCGACAAAAAUGGCGCUGCCUUUUUGAUUUAAAUUUUUUAAAAAGAUUUGACUUAACAAUAUUAGUCAAAAUUAGGGUUUUUUUGUUUAUUUUCAAAAUUUGCUGCUGCCCGACACCUCUUCCCCUCGCGAUCUCUUCUCCCCGACUCCUCUUCCCUUCGCGAUCUCUUCUAUUGUCAAAAUUUGCCAGUCGCGUCUCUUCUCCUGUUCUCCAUCAUCUUCGAGUUGUUGCUGCACUGAGGACCUAAGCCUAGCUAUGGAUGCAAGAGGUGAAAUGGAGACAGUAGACACUACAACCAGCAUUACAGCGUGUUUACAUGACAAGAGCGUCAACAUAUAAAGAUGCACUUAAAGGUUUCAUAGUGGGAUAUCAAGAAGAUAUGCAACAAGUAUGGAGAAAAAACGAGGACGCUAAAUUGCAUAAGGACACUUAUGCAGCCAAAGAACAAUAUUGGCAUCUGAAGUACAAGUUUAUGUAGUGGGCAAAUGGGGGAAGGAAAUUACAUCGCAAAUGGUUCAACUCAUUGAGGCUCUCGUUUGUAAAAGUGAUUUGGCUUGACAUCAAUUGAACCUCAAAGUGUAAGGUUUGGAUGGAGGAGGCAGGACUAGACCGAAACAGGUCAGGUGAGCCAGGAAUGGAUGUAAGAUAGUUGAAAAUGACUUCCACCCAAAUAUUGACUUCUAUUUGGUACUUUAUUCCACAUAGUAUGUGCUGCAGAUUCUAAAGCAAAAGCAUAUAAUGAUUUAGCCCUUGAAUCUAUCAUCGAGGUGUCUUGCGCGGUGUCUAGAGCCUCCUCUGAUAAAGUUCGUUCAUCUCUUGCCAUCUUUAUUUGAUGUGCCAUCAGCUUUCCAUUAGGAUAGUUUCAGCACUUGUAGUCCGGACCCAUAUGUGACUGUUUGUGGGUGUUUUUAUUAGGUAUAUGUUGGCGGGGUCAUGGAAUUUGUCUCUUGAUUGAAAUCUGUCAAGCACAUGGGUCUUCAUUUGAGCACAUUGUAAUAAGAAUCUUCUACCAUGUCCGAUAAAUUAUAGUCAUAUCAUCAUCGUGGAUCCUUCAUAAGACUGAAUCAGGAAUUAUUCUAUGUUUCUUUAGUGCAUGUACUGUAAUUUUGGCCUUAGUCUCUACUGCUAGCUUCAAUUAUUAUGUGUGAAUUAGUUUCCAAUACCAGUUUGGAGAAUACCAAGUCAUGUGAUUCGAUUAUUCUA